AGAGUUUGAUCCUGGCUCAGGAUGAACGCUAGCGACAGGCUUAACACAUGCAAGUCGAGGGGCAGCAGGAGCGAAGCAAUUCGCUUGCUGGCGACCGGCGCACGGGUGAGUAACACGUAUGCAACCUGCCCCCGGCUGGGGCAUAAGCGGUAGAAAUGCCGUCUAAUUCCCCAUGCCGCGUCAGAGGGACAUCCCUUUGGCGCGAAAGGAGAAAUCCGGCCGGGGAUGGGCAUGCGGCGCAUUAGGCAGUUGGCGGUGCAACGGACCACCAAACCGACGAUGCGUAGGGGUUCUGAGAGGAAGGCCCCCCACACUGGUACUGAGACACGGACCAGACCCCUACGGGAGGCAGCAGUGAGGAAUAUUGGUCAAUGGGCGCGAGCCUGAACCAGCCAAGUAGCGUGCAGGACGACGGCCCUAUGGGUUGUAAACUGCUUUUGUGCGGGGAUAAAGUUCGGGACGUGUCCCGGAUUGCAGGUACCGCACGAAUAAGGACCGGCUAAUUCCGUGCCAGCAGCCGCGGUAAUACGGAAGGUCCGGGCGUUAUCCGGAUUUAUUGGGUUUAAAGGGAGCGUAGGCCGGAGGUCAAGCGUGCCGUGAAAUGCGUCGGCUCAACCGGCGCACUGCGGCGCGAACUGGCUUCCUUGAGUGGACGGAACGUGCGCGGAAUUCGUGGUGUAGCGGUGAAAUGCUUAGAUAUCACGAAGAACUCCGAUUGCGAAGGCAGCGCGCGGCAGUCCUACUGACGCUGAAGCUCGAAAGCGCGGGUAUCGAACAGGAUUAGAUACCCUGGUAGUCCGCGCGGUAAACGAUGGAUGCUCGCUGUGGGCGACAAACAGUCCGCGGCCAAGCGAAAGCGUUAAGCAUCCCACCUGGGGAGUACGCCGGCAACGGUGAAACUCAAAGGAAUUGACGGGGGCCCGCACAAGCGGAGGAACAUGUGGUUUAAUUCGAUGAUACGCGAGGAACCUUACCCGGGCUUGAAUUGCAGGAGAACGAAACAGAGAUGUUGAGGCCCUUCGGGGCUCCUGUGAAGGUGCUGCAUGGUUGUCGUCAGCUCGUGCCGUGAGGUGUCGGCUUAAGUGCCAUAACGAGCGCAACCCCUUUCCGUAGUUGCCAUCGGGUAAAGCCGGGCACUCUGCGGACACUGCCUCCGUAAGGAGCGAGGAAGGUGGGGAUGACGUCAAAUCAGCACGGCCCUUACGUCCGGGGCUACACACGUGUUACAAUGGGGAGUACAGCGCGCAGGCCGUCGGCAACGCCGGUCGAAUCGUCAAAGCUCCCCCCAGUUCGGAUUGGGGUCUGCAACCCGACCCCAUGAAGCUGGAUUCGCUAGUAAUCGCGCAUCAGCCAUGGCGCGGUGAAUACGUUCCCGGGCCUUGCACACACCGCCCGUCA
rnacentral:rRNA from 1 species